UGCAGAUGUGGACCUGGUUUUUGGUGCCUCAGCCUAAAACUUGAACUGUGCGUGACCGAUCAGGUCACUCAUCCAUCGCUUUAUGCCCCCAGCAUAAAAAUUUUUUGCCCAGCAUCACAGGCUGAGGAGGGACAAGGUUGUUUCCCAGCUCCAGGGCCUCAAUAGCCCAGUAGCAUGUACAGGCACCCCAGACAACGUGCGAGGAGAGAGAGAGCUUGAGGACAAGACCAAGGAAAGAGGAGAUGAUGUGAUCAUCAGAUCCCUGAAGCUGGUGAGUGGGAUCCAUUGUUAUCCCUUGUAGCAAAUGGGCUACACAGAUCCCUACCUGAGUUUGCCCCCAGGUGUAUAGAUUCACAGGGGAGUGAAGAGGGGGGCAAUAUAUAAUGAGUCAGGUUUACAGACACGUGUCGGCUGCUCCAAUGACACAAAGCAGCCAUAACUCCACUCAGCUUGCCAGCUAAACCUGAUGUCCCCCAGGGGAACUUUAUUGAGCCCAGAUGGCCUCUGGUGCUGCCCCGACAUACUAGUUUAUUUGCUGUUUCUAGGUGUAACAAUGCUCCCUUUGGCAGGACACUACCGAGAGUAUCAAUUCAGGACAAAUUGCUUAGAGCAGGGUAGUCACAACCCAAGGCUGGGGUUCCUCCUCUUCUAAGGCACACCAAACCAGCCAAACAGAGAGGACUUCGGUUUUACCCCACUGGCUAACCAAAAGUCAUACAAACAACUCCUUUAGAUACUCCAGUUCCCUUGUAUCACCACCAGCAACCACUCCUUAUGGGGCCGAAUGGUUAUGAAAACCACUACCCCAGGAAAAGAAAAAUAGUUCUCCCGAUCUCAAAGGACCAAGCCUCAGACCCAGGUCAAUAUACAAGUCAGAUCUUAUCCACAAAUCACUCUGUUGCCAAUCCUUUAGGAUCUAAAAUCUAAAGGUUUAUUCAUA